UAAUACGGGGGGUGCGAGCGUUGUCCGGAUUCACUGGGCGUAAAGGGCGCGUAGGCGGCCGCAUCAGUCCGACUUUUAAGAGCGGGGCUCACCCCCGUGGGGGGUCGGGGACGGUGCGGCUGGGGCGCGGCAGAGGGGUGCGGAAUGCCGGGUGUAGUGGUGAAAUGCGUAGAGAUCCGGCGGAACACCGGUGGUGGAAGCGGCACCCUGGGCCGAGGCCGACGCUGAGGCGCGAGAGCGUGGGGAGCGAACCGGAUUAGAUACCCGGGUAGUCCACGCCGUAAACGGUGGGCACUAGGUGUGGCGGGUAUCGACCCCCGCCGUGCCGUCGCAAACGCAUGGAGUGCCCCGCCUGGGGAGUACGGCCGCAAGGCUA
rnacentral:rRNA from 1 species